GGAGCAAGGAACAAGGGUUUACCCUUUUGUUCUUGUAAAAAUUCACCAAACUAACAAGGAAAAUCGAUGUGAAUCAGUUGCAUGUGGUAAAACCUCGAUCAAAUACCCGUACCCAAUCAAGUGGUGUGAAGGAAGAAGGUUCGAAUUCUAAGAAGCCGGAAGGAUCACAAGACCGAGGUGUGAAGGAAGAAGGUUCGAAUUCUAAGAAGCCGGAAGGAUCACAAGACCGAGGUAAAUCCUCGACUUAGGCGAUUGGACGGCUUGGAACGUGCACACUUGGUUUACGCCCGCCUCACGCUUCCGUUAUUAAGUCUUU